rnacentral:rRNA from 1 species
AUGGCACCAAGCGCUGCUGAGCCUGAAAGCAGUGGCACGACGAGGAGGUCUCAAUUGAGUGGUUCAGCCUUCGGUCUUGAGGAUCAGGCAAAGGCCUCUCCUUUGGUGGCAUCAGCGGAAAGCUGCUGGAGUACAACUGAUUUGGCUCCGCACGGUGUAGACGUGCCAGACGAGGGGCAAGUUGUUCAAGCAGAUCGUUGGGAGACUUGUUUGCUCGCUCAGGAAGUGGACAUGAAGGCGGAGGAAGGAGAUGUUCAGGAGGGGUUCGGCGAGCACGAUCCAUCCGUCCAGACGACAGGCGAUGGCACUGCGGACGAACAAGUUUCAGAAGAUGCCUCUGCUGUCAUGGACUCAUUGAGAAAGGGAAGCGACGAGGAAGAAGAAGUCAGCAGCAGGGUGGCGAAGCGCCCGCGUGUGGAAUCUUAG